rnacentral:misc_RNA from 1 species
ACUCUGCUUGUGGAUUUUGUGGGCACUCAAUAUUACGAAAGAAAACAGGGACUGAACAGGGCAAGUGAGGAGCAAGCACGGGUUGGGUCAGUUGAUGCUGGUUCUGAAUCUGGUAUUGUUCCAUUCGCGGGUGCGAAAGAGCCUAAUGGGCCGAAUGCAAAGGUGUUUGGAGAAGAAGAGGGCGGUGCGAUGCACAUUGUGGGGAUCCACGCGCAUGCGGCGCACCACAGACACAGCCACCCUCA